UUAGCGGCUGAGCAGGUUGGCCAAAAAGGUGAUCAUUGCACUGCCCGGAACCGCCCCCUUUUUAUGUUGGUCAUAGGCGAGUACCAUGAACAUAAUAUCCAUUGCACGCUUGGUGUUGAAUGACCUGCGGGACUCGAAGUAGACGCUGGACGGAUAUUACCGGGGUACUCAUUGCACAACCUAAGACAAGUGGUGGAUGACAAGGCAGCGUUGCCUAUUGCACGUCAGAACCGCGAGGUGGUCUCUCGAUUGCUGCUGAUCCAGAGACAAGCGGGCUGGAUGGUAUCUAUGAGCAAAGGGGUAACCCUUUGCCUGGUUUUCCCCUAUGCUCCUGGAGUCCUAUUGACCAGGACUGCGACUGUUAACCUUUUGAACCCCUUGGACAGAGCUCAACCGAUUCUAUUCGAAUUACAUAUUUUAUUGAUGGUAGAUUUGCAUAAUUAUUUUGGGUUAACGACUGUUACAUUUAUUGGUUCACACAUGGCGAUUGUGGACGUCUCACUCUGAUGGACUGGAUUACUCACACCCCCAUUUUAUUUUUCAGACGUUGUCUUAACAACAAGUGGUUGAGUACUUUCAAAGUUAGUAAAGUAGUGAGUUGCUAAAAUUGCCGCCGGUCCAAAGAUUUUCCUGAUAUUUGAUAAGCAUAUGUUUGCAAUUUGCGAUAAUUACGCUUCUGUACAAAAAUCGGUUCAUCAAAGGCCAUUGUAAUGGAUUUUGCACGUGUUCAAAUUAACUGUUAUUUUGCGUUUCAAAAAUGGCCCUACACAAUGAAUUACCAAAAUUAAUUUGUAUCAAUACAAUGUUAUUAAAACAAGGAACUUAACUCUGAAGGUUGAAAAAAGUAAGAGUAAAGCUAAAUUAUUAAGAAACAACAUGAAAAAGCAUUUAAGAAAUAAAAGAAAAUUUUUAAACAAACAUUAUAUUGAUGAUUUUAAUUUCAUUUUUAGACCACCCCGAGAAUCUGAUAGAUUUACCAAUCACAGGUACGUACCACUUAAUGGUUUUGCAAUUAAGUUGACAACAACGAAAAAUAUAGCGGUUGGGCAUUAUUUAUCGUUGCCAACCUAAAACAUUAAAUAAGUGAAAAUUGCAGAUGAAGCAGACCGUCAGACGUUCAACUUUGAAGAACUACUUGAAAAUACUAAACCAAUGAAACUUAAUUUGCAAGGAAUUUUUGGGGAAAGCUUCGAAAUUCUUGACUCCCAUAACGAAGUUUUUCAGUUUUUGAUUUAUACAAGUAUGUCGAACCAUUAAAUGUUGCCAAUAGUCAAUAUAGUGAAACGGAAGAAGAUACCCACGUCAUUAACAAUACAUCAAACAUAGAAACAUUGUCAUUAUGCGAUGACAAUACAAUACAAGUUUCAGAUGAAAAUGAAAAGUCGCAUUUUGCAGCAUUGAAAAGCUUUUCUUUAAAUUCUUUCACAAAUUACGAAAUAUGCAGUCUUUGUUUUUGUUGUUUUCACCAAGAUGAUGUCACUCAGAUGAAUGGUGAAAAGAUAAAUACAUUAAGGGAAAUGUUACGGCUUGUUUUACCAGUAAUAGAUUUAGACUUGUACAAAAAGCCUGUAAUUUGUGUCAACUGUGAGAAAAUGCUAACCAUCAGCUAUGACUUAAGACAAGUUUCAUUGGCAACAGAAGAAACAAUUAAAUGAUUGAGAAAAAUAAAGAAACAAGAAAUCCAAACCUCUACUUAAUCAUAGUAACGAAAUCACUAGCUGGUGAACGUGUUGUUGAGUACAGUUCGGAGGAAUCUACUAGUGAUUUUGAUCACAACUAUGGUUUAAGUCCGGGUUUGUUGGAAAUCAAACGAAAAAUAUGGGAAAACCAGGAAUUACAAAACGAAAAAGUUCUAUUGGUAUAUAACGGUUUAAGCAUAACAGCGGAUAAACCACAAGUGAAACCAUGGGAGAAGCGAAUUCCUGAGCCUUUGGUUUGUGAGGUGUAUGGUUAUUAUACUAAACAUUACAGGUCGUUCAAGCGACAUUGUAGCUAACAUCAAGACAGUAAAUGGCAGGAAGAUACUAGCCUUGAAUUUGAGCAAAACUAUGGACAUGAUAAAAACGUUUAUAACAACAUAAUUAUAACAGAUGUAAAAAAGAAAAAACCGAAAAAGCGAGUGUCUAAGUCUUUCGUUUGUGACAAGUGUAGUUAUUUCACCAAACGUACCCAUUCCUUCAAGCGACAUUUAAGCAAACACAAUAACAACAAACUACCAACGAAACGAGUUCCACGUCGAAUUCAACCAAAACCAUGGAAACGUGACCACUGUCCAGCAACAUAUGCACAUCGCGAUCGCUUGAUUUUACAUAUGCGUGAACACCAAACUACACACACCUGUCACGUAUGCGAGAAAACAUUCAAAUUUAAGUCUAAUUUACGAAAUCAUAUCAAAGGUGUACAUCUCAAGGAAUACCAGCAAUGUCAUUUGUGUGGGAAAGAAAUAUCGGCACCUGCUUUGCGACUUUGUCUCCUCAGCACAACCCCACCAAAAUCUACAAGUGUAACUUUUGCCCUAAAAAAUUAAUUCGACUCAGAGCCAUUAGGAGCCAUAUUCAGUCCAGACGUAAUUUACUCCGUUAACUUGCCAAUAUUGUGGAAGGACAAUUAAGUAUGCACAGUCAUUAGAGAAGCACAUACAACUGUUACAUCUGAAUCAAGGCGAAAAUAUAUGUGAUGUGUGUAAUAAACCCUUGUGGAAAAAAGAAAGUUUGUUGAAGCAUAAAAUUCGCUUGCAUGGGUAUACUCAAGAAAAUCGUGACGGAUAGCGAAUUCUAUUCACUAUUCAAUUCACUCAAUUGUUAUUUUUAAUAUACGUUUUGUUCAUA